GGUUGUUCCUGUGAACAUGCCCUGCUUGAUGUAUUUGUCUUCUUGAAGUAACAGAAGAUGAGGACUCGCUUGAGCUGCACAUGGUGCUGCUGGAACUGGAGGAUAUGGAGAAACAGAUCCGUGGCCUACUCGACAAGCAGGCCCAGCUGCUGGAGUGAAGAACUGUGCUGGAAACAUCUUGUGCUUCUGCCUACACAUCCAAGGGACCGUGCACCCAAGACCCAAGCAGCGAAAGGUGAGAGCCAUACCCUGGGCGAGGACCUCUCCACCUCUGGUGUUAGAGAUCCUAACCAGGAACCACUUCACCCCUCUCCGUCAGACCAGACCAAACGCUGUGAUCAUUUGGGACUCCAUUGUGCGAAACGUCCGUGUCGCUUUAACAAAGGGUAAGGUGCACACACAUUGUUUUUCUGGUGCUAUUGUCCUUGAUGUCACUGCAAAG
ensembl:lncRNA